rnacentral:rRNA from 1 species
UACGGGGGGGGCAAGCGUUGUUCGGAUUUACUGGGCGUAAAGGGCGCGUAGGCGGCAUGACAAGUCACUUGUGAAAUCUCCGGGCUUAACUCGGAACGGCCAAGUGAUACUGUCACGCUAGAGUGCAGAAAGGGCAAUCGGAAUUCCUGGUGGAGCGGUGAAAUGCGCAGAUAUCAGGAGGAACACCCGUAGCGAAGGCGGCACUCUGGGCCGAUACUGACACUGAGGAGCGAAAGCGUGGGGAGCGAACAGG